UCACGUACGAUGACAGCUAAAAUUUAAUUUUCUGUUUAUAUGUAUUUUUCAAUAUACCUCAAUGAAAUGCAAAACUCUCUGAUCUCCUGGCCAAUUGUCGACCCUUACGGCAGAGCAGCAAACACAGUAAACACACCGCAUGCUGGAGUGCCAGCCUGUACACGCAUCGAAAAUGCAUUUGGAAUUUAUAACAAUUACUAUUUCCAUACUCAGUUUUUGUGGGCUACGCAGGGGCCGUAGCCACAGUAAUUGCCAUGGCCUGGAACGCAGACAGGAGCUGGGAGCUUCGAGCAGGAUACGGAAAAUGCAAGACUUUGCUAACUCUUAGAAUCAGACACAGACCCAGCGUCACGCAGACAAUUAUGUUCUCGCAAAUAUGUAAAUGUGCAUAUAAAUGUGGGUAUGAGUGUGUACAGGUCCUUAAAUGUAUGCGCGGUUUUACCUUUUAUGUGAAAAGUUUGACACUUUAUGAGAAAGAGAAGUUCACUUAAACAGUUCAAGCGGAUAAGGGAGAAAAUUAACAUUUAUAUAUUUUUACGCUAAAUAGGAUCUACUAUGAUGUGUAGAAUGUUUUCGAGGUCUAGAGUGUACAGUGCUUGGACGAGAAACCAUCCACAUUGAUUUUUCAUUCCAAGCCCAUUAAAACUUGGCAUUGGAAUUCCAAGGCCCAAUUGGAGCAAUGGAAUUUGGAGGACCUAACCAUAUACCUCAAAUCCUUAAUCGCCUCACUCAACCAUAAGCACUUUAACCCAUUUUGAAUGACUGUGUGUGUGGUUUUAUAAUGUCUGUGUGUUUCUGCGUAUGUAAAAAUUCAUAUGCUCCUGUGUGUGUGUGUGUGUGCGUUUGUA